rnacentral:rRNA from 1 species
CCUACGGGGGGCUGCAGUGGGGAAUAUUGCGCAAUGGGCGAAAGCCUGACGCAGCAACGCCGCGUGCGGGAUGACGGCCUUCGGGUUGUAAACCGCUUUCAGCUACGACGAAGUGAAAGUGACGGUAGUAGCAGAAGAAGCGCCGGCUAACUACGUGCCAGCAGCCGCGGUGAUACGUAGGGCGCAAGCGUUGUCCGGAAUUAUUGGGCGUAAAGAGCUCGUAGGCGGUCUGUUGCGUCGGGAGUGAAAACUCAGGGCUUAACCCUGAGCCUGCUCUCGAUACGGGCAGACUUGAGGAACGUAGGGGAGAACGGAAUUCCUGGUGGAGCGGUGGAAUGCGCAGAUAUCAGGAGGAACACCGGUGGCGAAGGCGGUUCUCUGGACGUUUCCUGACGCUGAGGAGCGAAAGCGUGGGGAGCAAACAGGCUUAGAUACCCCAGUAGUC